UACUAAUGUUAGAGAUGGGUGUUUACUUGG
rnacentral:piRNA from 1 species